UUUUUCAGCAGAUGGAAGAAACUAUUAAGCAACAUCAUGUGCCUAAAGGUGGUUGGUUGAUGAAUAAAAAGAUGUUUAUUUUUCCCAAUUUCUUUCUUUUUCAAUUUUUUUUUCUUUAAACAAUUUAUAUGGGAUACUCUAGUAGAGAUGGUCUAAUAUAAAACUAAGUAAGUUGGAAUAUAACCCAAAACAUAUAUAAUAUCAGUAUAUAACUAUUGAAACUAGUCUUAGAUGUCUAAAUCCGAAAACCCAAAAAAUC
rnacentral:lncRNA from 1 species